AACUUUCAACAGCGGAUCUCUUGGUUCAAGCAUCGAUGAAGAACGGAGCGAAAUGCGAUAAGUAAUGUGGCAGAAUUCAGUAAAUCAUUGAAUCUGUGAACGCACAUUGCACCCGCCAGUACCCUAGCGGGCAUGCCCGUUCGAGCGUAU
rnacentral:rRNA from 1 species